rnacentral:rRNA from 1 species
GACGAACGCUGGCGGCGUGCUUAACACAUGCAAGUCGAACGGAAAGGCCCUGCUUUUGUGGGGUGCUCGAGUGGCGAACGGGUGAGUAACACGUGAGUAACCUGCCCUUGACUUUGGGAUAACUUCAGGAAACUGGGGCUAAUACCGGAUAGGAGCUCCUGCUGCAUGGUGGGGGUUGGAAAGUUUCGGCGGUUGGGGAUGGACUCGCGGCUUAUCAGCUUGUUGGUGGGGUAGUGGCUUACCAAGGCUUUGACGGGUAGCCGGCCUGAGAGGGUGACCGGCCACAUUGGGACUGAGAUACGGCCCAGACUCCUACGGGAGGCAGCAGUGGGGAAUAUUGCACAAUGGGCGGAAGCCUGAUGCAGCAACGCCGCGUGCGGGAUGACGGCCUUCGGGUUGUAAACCGCUUUCGCCUGUGACGAAGCGUGAGUGACGGUAAUGGGUAAAGAAGCACCGGCUAACUACGUGCCAGCAGCCGCGGUGAUACGUAGGGUGCGAGCGUUGUCCGGAUUUUAUUGGGCGUAAAGGGCUCGUAGGUGGUUGAUCGCGUCGGAAGUGUAAUCUUGGGGCUUAACCCUGAGCGUGCUUUCGAUACGGGUUGACUUGAGGAAGGUAGGGGAGAAUGGAAUUCCUGGUGGAGCGGUGGAAUGCGCAGAUAUCAGGAGGAACACCAGUGGCGAAGGCGGUUCUCUGGGCCUUUCCUGACGCUGAGGAGCGAAAGCGUGGGGAGCGAACAGGCUUAGAUACCCUGGUAGUCCACGCUGUAAACGGUGGGUACUAGGUGUGGGGUCCAUUCCACGGGUUCCGUGCCGUAGCUAACGCUUUAAGUACCCCGCCUGGGGAGUACGGCCGCAAGGCUAAAACUCAAAGGAAUUGACGGGGCCCCGCACAAGCGGCGGAGCAUGCGGAUUAAUUCGAUGCAACGCGUAGAACCUUACCUGGGUUUGACAUGGAUCGGGAGUGCUCAGAGAUGGGUGUGCCUCUUUUGGGGUCGGUUCACAGGUGGUGCAUGGCUGUCGUCAGCUCGUGUCGUGAGAUGUUGGGUUAAGUCCCGCAACGAGCGCAACCCUUGUUCACUGUUGCCAGCACGUUAUGGUGGGGACUCAGUGGAGACCGCCGGGGUCAACUCGGAGGAAGGUGGGGAUGACGUCAAGUCAUCAUGCCCCUUAUGUCCAGGGCUUCACGCAUGCUACAAUGGCUGGUACAGAGAGUGGCGAGCCUGUGAGGGUGAGCGAAUCUCGGAAAGCCGGUCUCAGUUCGGAUUGGGGUCUGCAACUCGACCUCAUGAAGUCGGAGUCGCUAGUAAUCGCAGAUCAGCAACGCUGCGGUGAAUACGUUCCCGGG